AACCAGACUCCUACGGGAGGCAGCAGUGGGGAAUAUUGCACAAUGGGGGAAACCCUGAUGCAGCGACGCCGCGUGAGUGAAGAAGUAUUUCGGUAUGUAAAGCUCUAUCAGCAGGGAAGAAGUUGACGGUACCUGAGUAAGAAGCCCCGGCUAACUACGUGCCAGCAGCCGCGGUAAUACGUAGGGGGCAAGCGUUAUCCGGAUUUACUGGGUGUAAAGGGAGCGUAGACGGCAGUGCAAGUCUGAAGUGAAAGCCCCGGGCUUAACCCGGGAAUUGCUUUGGAAACUGUACGGCUGGAGUGCUGGAGAGGUAAGCGGAAUUCCUAGUGUAGCGGUGAAAUGCGUAGAUAUUAGGAAGAACACCGGUGGCGAAGGCGGCUUGCUGGACUGUAACUGACGCUGAGUCACGAAAGCGUGGGGAGCGAACAGGAUUAGAUACCCCCUA
rnacentral:rRNA from 1 species